rnacentral:rRNA from 1 species
AUUGAACGCUGGCGGCAUGCCUUACACAUGCAAGUCGAACGGCAGCACGGGGGCAACCCUGGUGGCGAGUGGCGAACGGGUGAGUAAAGCAUCGGAACGUACCCGGGAGGGGGGGAUAACGUAGCGAAAGUUACGCUAAUACCGCAUAUUCUCUGAGGAGGAAAGCAGGGGAUCGCAAGACCUUGCGCUUUCGAAUUGGCCGAUGGCGGAUAAGCUAGUGGGUGGGGUAAAGGCCUACAAAGGCGACGAUCCGUAGCGGGUCUGAGAGGAUGAUCCGCCACACUGGGACUGAGACACGGCCCAGACUCCUACGGGAGGCAGCAGUGGGGAAUUUUGGACAAUGGGGGCAACCCUGAUCCCGCCAUGCCGCGUGAGUGAAGAAGGCCUUCGGGUUGUAAAGCUCUUUCGGCCGGGAAGAAAUCGCGCAGGAUAAUACCCUGUGUGGAUGACGGUACCGGAAUAAGAAGCACCGGCUAACUACGUGCCAGCAGCCGCGGUAAAAC